rnacentral:rRNA from 1 species
UACGAAGGGGGCUAGCGUUGCUCGGAAUCACUGGGCGUAAAGGGCGCGUAGGCGGCCAGCACAAGUCAGUUGUGAAAUCUCCGAGCUUAACUCGGAAAGGUCAACUGAUACUGUGCGGCUAGAGUGCGGAAGGGGCAACUGGAAUUCUUGGUGUAGCGGUGAAAUGCGUAGAUAUCAAGAGGAACACCGGUGGCGAAGGCGGGAUCCUGGGCCAGUACUGACGCUGAGGAGCGAAAGCUAGGGGAGCAAACGGG